rnacentral:tRNA from 1 species
UCCCUGGUGGUUCAGUGGCUAAGAUGCUACACUCCCAAUGCUGGAGGCUGGGUUCAAUCCCUGGUCAGGGAA